rnacentral:rRNA from 1 species
AUUGAACGCUGGCGGCAUGCUUUACACAUGCAAGUCGGACGGCAGCACAGAGAAGCUUGCUUCUUGGGUGGCGAGUGGCGAACGGGUGGGUAAUAUAUCGGAACGUACCGAGUAAUGGGGGAUAACUAAUCGAAAGAUUAGCUAAUACCGCAUAUUCUCUGAGGAGGAAAGCAGGGGACCUUCGGGCCUUGCGUUAUUCGAGCGGCCGAUAUCUGAUUAGCUAGUUGGUGGGGUAAAGGCCUACCAAGGCGACGAUCAGUAGCGGGUCUGAGAGGAUGAUCCGCCACACUGGGACUGAGACACGGCCCAGACUCCUACGGGAGGCAGCAGUGGGGAAUUUUGGACAAUGGGCGCAAGCCUGAUCCAGCCAUGCCGCGUGUCUGAAGAAGGCCUUCGGGUUGUAAAGGACUUUUGUCAGGGAAGAAAAGGCUGUUGCUAAUACCGACAGCUGAUGACGGUACCUGAAGAAUAAGCACCGGCUAACUACGUG